rnacentral:misc_RNA from 1 species
UUGAUUCAUUUGUUUAUGAUUCCACUCAGACAUGCUAUAAAAAAGAUACAAGAGUUUGAGUCCCCCGGCGGGCGCCUGUUUCCGGGGGGUCGGGCAGGGGGACCUGACGGCCACACCUGUCGUUUCCCCGGGGCAAUGACCCGCCGAAGCAACAGUAAAGGUAUAAGUUCACAGGGGUUUGGGAGUUGUAAACUCGGUAAUGAUCCCUCCGCUGGUUCACCAACGGAGA